rnacentral:lncRNA from 1 species
GUUUCACCUCAUGAGCAGGGUUCAAGCACUCUUGACUUUUUGAUAAGUAGAGAUCACUAUCUCGUCUUCCAGUCCAUUCCCCUCCCCAGCCUUCUCCAUCCCCCUCAGAAUUUAGCUUAGUUCAUCACAGUGAGUGGGUGAUGGAGGUGAAAUAUUUUUAGCAAAUAUAUCUUGUGAUAAACUAUCCCAGUUGUAAUGCAGAGUAUUUUGGAGCAGCUUGGUCUUGAGGGCAAUAUGCUUUUUUAAAAGUCCUGUUUUUGGUGGAGAUGAAAGCUGCCAAAAUUGACUUGUUGAUAUGGAUCAACAUCUGUGUUGUGGAUGUGGGAACUCUGCCAUUACACUAGGGGUGGUCAAAGUGUCCAGACGUUUGUUGCAUUGCAACCCCUAGUGUUCCUCAUCCCUGGUUAUGCUAGUUGGGGCUGAUGGGAGGUGCAGUCCAACAAUACCCAGGGGGCUGCUUUUUGCUCACUUCUAAGCUACAUGGCUGCUCAUGAAUUGACACACAAUUCAUGUGUGUACAGGGCAAUGUUGAAAGCUGCAGGAUGCAGAGUAAACAUUGUGCUCUUGGUGAGAUUGGGUCAUUUCCUUCUAUGUAGAACGGGUCUGCCCCCCCCCCCCCCGUGUUGCUUAAAAGAUUUGGGUAGUUUGGAAAGGGGGGAAGAGAAGGCAGAAAGGACUUUUUUUUAAACAGAAGCAGCAGACAAGCUGAGUGAAGUCAUGGUGGAAGCCCAAGCUCUCUCACAUAAUUGAGGCAAUAAUUUAGGGGCAACAUCUGAAGAAGGUCUAAAGAGGAUUAGGGGGAAAGAUGGAGACAGCACCUCUGUUGCAGAAAUUUCUCAGGGUUCAGCCCAGAGCUUUUGGGGCAGUACUGGUGGUCCUUGGAUUGGUUCAGUCAGCCUUGGGAGGCCUCUUUCUCGUCUUCCACUGUUCCUACACAGACUACCUUGGCAUUCAUUUCUUCUCAGGGAUCUCGCUGUUCCUAGCUGGAAUCGUUGCUAUUAUAGUUGACCAAGUCCCCCGCAUUGGCUUGGUGAAAACUUGUCUCAUCUUCCACAUUGCGGCAGCUGCAGUUGCUGUUGUGAUCAAUUAUCUCUAUUUCUACUGCAGAGCACUGAGAGGAAUUGCUUUUGCCACUGGAGCAGUGGGCGUCUGCCUCACCGUUUGUCUCGCAGCCUUUAUCUGUCGAACCAUCUGUUACCACAGCUCUGAUGACACUGCGGUAAGAAGACCCAGAAGAGGCAAACAGGAAAAGAAGGAUGGGGGAAGAACCUAGCUGGGAUUAGGUGGAGAUGUGAUGUGAAACAAAAUUAUAAAACCAGUAAACGGCCUUAAUGUGCAACUAGAUGGAGGAACUUGGAGCAAUCCAGGUUGCAUUUAAAAGGCUCUUACUGUCAAGGCAAUCUAUUUUAUCUCACACUUGAAUGAUCCCUCCAUCCACACAGGAGAUGUUUCUUCUCCCUUUUCUCUGAACAUAACACUGCCCACAGCUCUAUUUGUGGGCACAUCAAGCAACCAUGCAAACUGCGGAACAGGAUCCAAAUAAACUGCAGCCCUAAUGCUAUGCCA